rnacentral:rRNA from 1 species
CAGCCGCCGCGGUAAUACGUAGGUGGCGAGCGUUGUCCGGAAUUAUUGGGCGUAAAGGGAGCGCAGGCGGACAUAUAAGUCCAUCUUAAAAGUGCGGGGCUCAACCCCGUGAGGGGAUGGAAACUGUAUGCCUUGAGUGCAGGAGAGGAAAGCGGAAUUCCCAGUGUAGCGGUGAAAUGCGUAGAUAUUGGGAAGAACACCAGUGGCGAAGGCGACUUUCUGGACGAAAACUGACGCUGAGGCGCGAAAGCCAGGGGAGCGAACGGGAUUAGAUACCCCAGUAGUCCCUGUCUCUUAUACA